rnacentral:rRNA from 1 species
GACGAACGCUGGCAGCGUGCUUAACACAUGCAAGUCGAACGAUGAAGAAGAGAAACGCGAACUUCGGUUCAAAUUUCACUUCGGAUUAGUGGCAGACGGGUGAGUAACGCGUGAGCAACCUACCUCUUACAAAGGGAUAGCCUCGGGAAACCGUGAUUAAUACCAUAUGACACAUUCAUAAGGCAUCUUAAGAAUGUUAAAGCUACGGCGGUAAGAGAUGGGCUCGCGUCCCAUUAGCUAGUUGGUGAGGUAACGGCCCACCAAGGCGACGAUGGGUAACCGGCCUGAGAGGGUGAACGGUCACAUUGGAACUGAGACACGGUCCAAACUCCUACGGGAGGCAGCAGUGGGGAAUAUUGCACAAUGGAGGGAACUCUGAUGCAGCGACGCCGCGUGAGCGAUGAAGGAAUUCGUUUCGUAAAGCUCUGUUCUAUGGGAAGAAAAGGACUGUACCAUAGGAGAAAGCCCCGGCUAAAUACGUG